UGAAGUUGGACUUGUUUGAUUUAUUUCGCGUGAGCUCUUUGAGUGAAAGUUAUCAGGCUGUAUUUUGGUUUUUAAGACAGACCCAUUUGUUCGGAAGAAUUUGAAUGUUUUCUUUUCUUUUAAUUAAUUAAUUAAUUUGUUUAAUUACUUAUUUUUUUCUGUCAUUUCGGUCCACACUCCACACCAGUUGGUGGCGGUAAUGCACCAUUUUGCUGUUUGCCAACCGCCAAUAAACCCUAUAAAGAAGAAGAGUCACUGUCGCGUUGUCCCUCAUGCUGUGUGGAUCUCCCUGUGUUUCCGGAUCUGGCACACUGUUUCCUGAUGCCGUGGAGCCAGCACCGAAGACUGUGCACAGCCCUUUUAGACGAGGAGGACCCGGGACGUUUGAGUCCGGGCUGAUCUGGUCCACGGCGGCGGGAUUCAGUCUGAUGAUCCGAACCACCAGUGAGACGUCUGAGGGCUGCUUUGCCGGCCCUGAAAGCCGAAGGUGACCUGGACUCCUGCUCUCCCCUCUACCAUCUUUGACGUGACCCUGACCAAAUGUUGCAGCAGCUGGACCCAUAACAACAAUCUGAAAAUGUCAACAGUGCUACAGGAAAGCGAUCUCAUGCAGCAGAGACGGAGAGCAUUAAAUCCAAGGCCCGUUUCACUACACGGGGGAGAUUUCCAGACAGCUUCAGCUGACAGAGCUGUGACGAGACGCCCAUUAAGCCCGAAUGAAAAGUAAGGCCGAGCAAAAGAAUGCUGACCUUGAUAUCUCUGCAUUAACACUGUGCAGGACAGUGAUGGACCAACACGGAUGAUCGGGCAGCAGAAGAAAGGUCGUGCCAGAGACAGGAGGAGCAACUGAGGUCAAAAGGCACCUCAGAAUGGACAAAACACAGAAGAAGAUGCAGGUUUCACCUGCGGUGAGCAUGGACACUGGAGAAAAGGAGGAGGGCAGGACCCCAGGGCACGCUUCAGGCCGUGGUUUACCCAAAACACCAGAACAGGAAAGUGAUAAACACACCAACAUACACAUCUACACACACACCAGACAAUGUACACUCAUCAAACAUGACUGAUGCCCUGAACGCCUUGAGACAGAUCCAGCAGGCCCAAAAUCAGGACUAUGUAACUAAUACAAGUUACUGGUUUUCUUGGCUUUACACUGGCUCCUGGCUACAGCUGCUAAAAAGACUACUACUGCCUUUUCACUGUGCAAUACUUUUUGUUAAUAACCAACGGUGCAAUAGACUUCAAUACUUGAAAUACUUGAAAUACUUGCAAUUCCUUUGUAUUCUUAUUCUUAUUUAUUCUAUUUAUCCCUUUUUGUAUUUUUACUUUUAUUUUGUGUUUUUGUAACAUGUAUCCUGCCAUGUUUAAAGCUCAUGAUUAACCGCAUAAUUGUUUCCACUGUUGCUGCAUACAUAGCCGUAACAAAUGAUGAUGAUGAUGACCCCGACCUGUUGGAGCAUGAAGACUUUGUGUGAUUAAUGAUGACGUGACAGAAAAUGUACAACAAGAUGUUACAUACUGAUAUCUCACUUCAAAGUUAUACUGACAACAGGAGGGAAUGUCAAUAGAAAGUUGUACUGGUAGUCAGUAUAAGCUUUUAAUGAUAUAAGUUUGCAUAUGAUAGUAUGCAAACUAUCAUAUGUAUGUAUGUAUGUUGACCUUUUGAUGACUUAGACUGUUGUCCACUACAAGACUGUUUUAUAAAUUCUUUCUCACAGCGAUAAUAGCUGAACAAGCAGGAAAGAGGAGAGCUGGACACUUUUAUCUGCGCUCACUAAACAAGAAGAGGGGCCGCGUCCUUCUGAAUCUCACAACACACACACAUACACCUGAACCACUCUUAUCUUCACUCCCUACGCACUAACAUUCUUCUUCCUAUGAAUAGACAUAUUCACUGUUGUAUUGCUUUGUAUAUAAAUAAAGACCAGAGCGGUAACAGAGCGCGCAUUCACAGGGCCCCCACUCUGGUGUGAGCGUUCUGUGAUCGCCCUUGUAUACAAUCACACCUUGUGGAGGUGGAACAUUUCUUAACAAAGGUGCUCUGGUAGGUGUAUAUAAGAAGAGCUCAACUUUCCGAGUAUCACUACAACAACUUCUUUCACUCUGAGACAGACUGCUGCAGCUUUGAAGACUAGACGUACGAACACUGAAACCAUGCUGAAGGUAGCAUUUGUGCUUGGAUGCCUCCUGAGCCUCACUCUGACUCAACCUAUGGGUAUGGCGCGCAAAAGACUUGUGCGCUCAAGCUCCGAAUCUAACUCUGGAUCAGGGGAAGCCAAUCAACAGUUAAACAAUCAACAGCUGCAGCUACUCAUACAAUUACUACUUGCCAGCUUAGCAACAACAACCACUACUACAGCUGCAACCACCGCAACAGCUGCAACCACCCCUGCUCCGGCUACAAUGUCAGGUUAAAAACUGACAUUUAGCUAUUGAAUGAAAGUCAGCAUGCAGUGAAACUGUCAAUUUGUGAUAUUUUAAUGAGAAUACAUAGUAGUGUCUACUAAAUAAAAUUUAUGAAUAGAAAAUGUGUGUUUUUCUGUUUGUAAGAAAUACAAGUACCUCAGCUUACCAUUAUAUUCCCCUUUCAAUACAGAGUUUACAUCACACUAUAUGUAAUUAAAGCAGCUAUUUAGGUGUUUACUAACGAACACUGUUGAUCUAAAAUAGAGUUUAAAUUAUGGUACAUCAAGAAUAUUACAUAAUAAACUUAAGUUUUCUCAAAUGUAGUAGAUUGUGCUUCCGAGGUCGGUACCAUUAACAUGAAAGCUACAUUCCUGGUGGGGUUUUUCCGGUGGGAACAUUCAUUGUCAAACAGUUAAGCAACGGAGGGUCAGGGGGCCAAGUUAGGACAUAAAAUGAUAGCCCGUCAGUAUGGCUCAUUAUUUAAGACCAUUUAUAUACAAGUAAGAGUUUAAGAUUAAGAUUUCAGAUUCCGAUAAGAAUUUCAAAUCACCUAUAUGGAAACCAGUCUGGAGUGGUGGAAAUUAAGAUGAGAUGUUUAACCAGAUAAACUGGAAGAGAUGGAAAGAUAAAGGUCUACGCUUCCCUGCUGCCCGUGCGAUCAAAGUUUAGAUAAGAAGAAGAAAAUGGCUGCAUGAUUUAUUAUUUUGUUAUUUUAGAUUUUAACUUUUAUUGAAGUGGUUGCCAUAAAUUUUCGGACAGCGUGCAUCAUUCAUAAUGCAAAGAACAAUGUGCCAGACGUUUCAGUCGCAGUUUAUUCAUUUUUUAGAUGUUAAUUUGUCAUAUUUUCGUAAUAAAUGAGCGUCUUUUAUAGUAACAUGACUUCAUAUUAUAUUUAAAGGGAACCCCGGCUAUUAACACAUGUUUGCGCUAAAAUAUGCACUGUCCUUUCAAUAACAUAUAUGUGGUAUUAAAAUACACCAAAUGUUUCCCUUUUAAGCACAUUUUAUAGAAAACUGAUUUACCAGUAGGCCACCAUUGUUAUUUACUUCUCAAUGCACUCUGGGUAGUGACGUCAUACGGUUGCACCGCAUCGAGUUCACAGUUAGCACUGGAAAUGAGUUCUGUUCAACCUUUCCAGUUUGAACCAGAGCAAUCCGAGAGAGAGGAUGAAAAUAGUCAACCAGUAAUUAGUUUAGAUGAAGAUGAAAACAAUCCGUCACACGAGGACGCGAGAGUGAGGGAAAACUUCUGGUGUCUAUGCGGCUACUGCUUGCCAAUGCAAUGCAUAUUACCGCUGUAAUGUAGGUGUCCACCCUAUAGUGUUUGCAAGCUGGUAAACAGAUGGAAAUACCUCGCUAUGAUUACAAAUCAGGAGUUUUAGUGGCUUAAGCAGUUAAUUUUUGCUUUGCUUUGUUUUAUUUGUUGCUUCAAGCCCUGUGUACAGGAGCUGCAUGCAAAAAGAUCUUUUGUUAAAAGGGUUGGCGUAAUAAGCAAAUGCUUCAGCCAAUACCUUUUGAUUAGCCUUGUCUUGUGCUUUCUUGCUUUGUGGUAAUCUUUAUUCUGUAUUCACUGAGAUAUUUGAAUGCUAAUCAAUAAAUCAAUAAAAAAUAAAAAAUAAAUAAUAAAUAAAACAGACAACACCCAGUCUGACAUCCUUUUUUUUUUUUUUUUUUUAAAUGAGUUGCUGUUAUAGCACAAAGGUAUAGAUAUAAAGUUUAUGUAAUAGAUAAGAAGACAAAAAUAAAUUAAAAGAACAUCAAGAGC
ensembl:lncRNA